GAACCUAGCUCCGUGGUAGAGCAGCGGUUUCGCAAACCGCAGGUUGUGAGUUCGAAUCUCAGCUAGGUGCC
rnacentral:tRNA from 1 species